rnacentral:rRNA from 1 species
UACGAAGGGGGCUAGCGUUGCUCGGAAUUACUGGGCGUAAAGGGAGCGUAGGCGGAUAUUUAAGUCGGGGGUGAAAGCCCAGGGCUCAACCGUGGAGGGUCAUUGGAAACUGGGGGACUUGAGUACAGAAGGGAAGAGUGGAAUUCCACGUGUAGCGGUGAAAUGCGUAGAGAUGUGGAGGAACACCAGUGGCGAAGGCGACUCUUUGGUCUGUAACUGACGCUGAGGCGCGAAAGCGUGGGGAGCAAACAGG